UACAGAGGGGGCAAGCGUUGUUCGGAAUUACUGGGCGUAAAGGGCGCGUAGGCGGCCUGUUAAGUCGAACGUGAAAUCCCCGGGCUCAACCCGGGAACUGCGUCCGAUACUGGCAGGCUUGAAUCCGGGAGAGGGAUGCGGAAUUCCAGGUGUAGCGGUGAAAUGCGUAGAUAUCAGGAGGAACACCUGCGGUGUAGACGGCUUACUGGACCACGACUGACACUGAAACUCGAAAGUGUGGGGAGCAAACAGG
rnacentral:rRNA from 1 species